CGAAGGGGGCUAGCGUUGUUCGGAAUCACUGGGCGUAAAGCGCAUGCAGGCGGAUUGUUAAGUCGGGGGUGAAAUCCCGAGGCUCAACCUCGGAACUGCCUUCGAUACUGGCAAUCUUGAGUCCGGGAGAGGUGAGUGGAACUGCGAGUGUAGAGGUGAAAUUCGUAGAUAUUCGCAAGAACACCAGUGGCGAAGGCGGCUCACUGGCCCGGUACUGACGCUCGAGGUGCGAAAGCGUGGGGAGCAAACAGGAUUAGAUACCCUGGUAGUCCACGCCGUAAACGAUGGAUGCUAGCCGUCGGCAAGUUUACUUGUCGGUGGCGCAGCUAACGCAAUAAGCAUCCCGCCUGGGGAGUACGAUCGCAAGAUUA
rnacentral:rRNA from 1 species